AGAGAGUUCAUCAAUGACAAUUGCACACCCGUAAAGACAAGCAAGACUGAGGGCCUGCAGAACUGAAUGAAUUUACUAAAUGGAGGAUUCCACCAAUUUUAAUAGAAGGCUAAUGGCAUGUCGAAGUGUUUAUGUAUGUGAGAAAGGAAAGAGAGGAGCGAAACCUACAUCCAUUUUGAAGCUUCAAAAUAGCGCAUGCAAUUGUUCAGAUUUUAGCUACCACUUUCCAUGAAAUGAAGAGGAAGGAUGGGUUAUCAAACAGGUCUCAUUUUACCUAAUGUUAUGUACAUUCUUUGGUGACAAUGUUGCAGCUCCAAACAUAAAAAACAGAUACACAAGCUAUCUCAUUAAACAGAACCAUUUGAACAUAAGAAGACUCAAGUCUCAAAUCUAAU
rnacentral:misc_RNA from 1 species